CAAAGAGGUGUAUAGUGCCAUCCCCAGCCAGGACAACCCGUCUCAGACCCUCCACAGUGCCGACAGCGAUAGCCACCUCUCCCCAACCCCAGAGAAAAGGACUAAAACUCACUCUGACCCCCUCCCUCACCACCCACCAUCAACCACUGCUAACCCGCCAUCCUCAUUGGCCGAUGUUGGCGCUAAGCCACCUACUGACACCAUGAGGGAAUCCAGCUCCACCUCCAACCCUGGGGCCUUACCCCUCCAGCCCACCCCCCACUCCCUCAGAACCCUAGUCUCUCCAGCCUUCUCCCAGCCCCUCUCUGGACCAGGCCAGGGGACCACAAAAGGCCUCGGAGCACCACACAGCAGAUCUGGGGAGGACGUCAGGGAGACUGAGAACAGCCCAGCAGCAGGGCUGGAUGGACGGCUGGACGGCAAGCCCAGCUCCAGAGAGGGAAGAGACCGGAUGUAUUCUUCUGAUCGGGAUAAGGGGAGAGACCGACUAUAUUCUUCGGACCGCGAUAGGGAUGGAGACCGGCUGUACUCUUCUGACCGGGAUAAAGACGGAGAAAGGAAUGGGUACCACCGUGACAUGAGCCGUGAACGCAACUGGGACCGUGACUCAGACCGCUAUCGACACCGGCGGGACCACAGAGAUCGAGAACACCACCGAGACCGAGAACACCACCGGUCGUACCGUGAUCGCUCGGCCAGCCGGGACAGACACUGGGAGUCAGAGCGUCGCUGGGAGAGGAACGCCUACCACCCCAGGGACAGGGACCGCUGCCACCACCACUACCACAGACCCAGAGAGAACAGGGAGAGGGACCGGAGGGAGCACAGCCUCCCCCAUAGAGAGGAGCCUCACGGACGCUCCAGGUGGAGGGGGGAGAGGUGUGAAGGUAAGGACAGGGGUGAUGGUAAGAGGGGUUACUACCCUUCACAGGAGGAGACCCCCCUGCCCACCCCACUAAGCUCCAACACCAAACCCAGUCAGCCCCCCACUAGCCCAGACCUCUCCCCAGCCAGACCAGCUCUGGAGAAACGACCCGAUCCUCUGAGAGAGGACAGCGUUGAGGAGCGUCGGGCCAAGAAACACAAGAAGAGCAAGAAGAAGAAGAAGUCCAAGGACAAAGCUAGGCGUCGAGAGAAUGGGACCUCUGAUGUGGAUUCCUCUGACAGGGCUGCCGAUGGUAGCAGGUCCUCCAAACACAAGAAGAAGAAGAAGAGGAGGCAUGACACUGACAUGGAGGACGAGAAGUCCCGCUCUACCCAGAGUUCCGAGGGGCACCGUGACCCCAACGCCCCCCGGGAGAGUCGCAGGGCGAGCAGCAGUGACGAGGAGAGGGCGAGCAGGAAGCGACGUUACCAGGACGAUGAUGGCUCUGACAAUGGCUACCCCGAGAAACACCAUCGCUCCGAUGACGACGACAACAAAGACCGCUUCUUCUCUCACAAUAUAUUGCCAACAGCCACCUCUCACAACGCAUCGCACCACCACCUCAACGGGCACACAGGUAAGAAACCAGCUGAUUUUAGAAACCAUACAAUGGUUUCGAUAUAUCAGGUCUACUAG
rnacentral:lncRNA from 13 species